rnacentral:lncRNA from 1 species
CUGUUGUACAUACGUGCCUAGAUGGGCGGCAGAUUUGUAUGUAUAUGUUAUGUAGAUCAAUGUCAUUUAGUCAAGGCAUGGUGUUGGAAACUAGGAGGUACAGCCUCUUGAUAUCAUCUAGCAAGGCUGGUUUAUCCCAAAAAUAAGACACAUAGAUGUUAGGAAGGAAUUGUUUGAGGGCAUAAGGACGGGAAAUUACACUGUGGAAUGCAUAUUAGUUCUUGAUACAUAAAUUAGUUGUCAUUACCUGUUUAAAGCCUCGUGCAAGGAGGGAGGGGUCUAGAUUUGACACCAACAAAUUGCACAUUUUGGCUAGAGCUGCUCCUCUAUGAUCGGUAGGGCUGCAAACAAUCUGAGCUUCUUGGGAUCAUCUUGACUGGGACUUGUUUUAUGCUGGGGUCAAUUGCCAAGCUCAAACAGUUUUUGGAGCUCACCUCAUAAAAGAGCCGAGCCUGAACAGAGUUUAGAGAAGUAAAGGGAUGUUUGGCUUGGCUCGUAAAAUUUGCUGCUUGGAGUUUAUAUAAGCCACAAGCUUGAACAGGACACGUCAAGGUUAGAUUCAUUUAGAGCCGACCUUGAGAAGCUCCCUGAUACACCACUCCUCUCGGCUUGGCUCUUUUGUGCCCCUGAUGAUUGGUGUGAAAAUGAUAUUCCAUUCUAUCCUUGUCACUAAUGACUUACUACUGUGCACUUCUCAUUGCUAUUAUUUCGUAUUAUCAAUUGGUUUAGAGUUUUGCAUACUAUAAUAUUUUCUUUUGUGCAAUCACAUUCACAUUCAUUUUCCAGCUUCCUGUGUGACAACAUUAGGUAACACAGGCUGAUGCUUAUGCAAGUUAGAUUUUUUCUAUCUCAAGCACUUAAUGUGAAAAAGAAAGUGAGGUUCAGAGAAAUGACCAAUACUUUUGUGGCUGAGGUCUUUAGAUAGACAUAUAUAGUGGUUCAAACUAAGCUUGUGUAGGGAUUUAAAAAGUAGUGGUAAAAGUUUUAUCUCCCUUUUCCCUUAUUUUGUCUCUCUCCAGCUCUCCCUUCUUCCGUAUUAUGCACUUCCAUUAUCUGUCUGCCUUCUCAGACCUUUUAGUCUGCAAGCUUUGCUAAUAUAUUGGAUUAAAUGUUCAUAAAAUCAUAUAUCCUAUAUUUCAGGAAAAAAAUGUCAUGGCUGAGCUAGCUGUGUUCACAAAUGCAUUAAUAUUCAUAUAUUGAUAUCUGAAUUUAUGCAGGAUUCAAUGUGGAGACUGUGGAGUACAAGAACAUUAGCUUCACUGUUUGGGAUGUUGGUGGUCAGGAUAAGGUAAUGUACAUAAUGAAUGCAUUUUUUGAUUGGUAAUGCAUGCUUCUAGUACAUACCUAAUUAGAUCUAGUCAAACUACUAUAAACAUGAUUCUAUAUUGAAGAGCUGAUUAUUGUUGCUCACCUACUUAGUUAUUUUCAUAAUAAUUGACUAAUGUUUUGGUAAUCUGGAUGCGUAACAACAAACAGAUCAGGCCUUUAUGGAGGCACUACUUCCAGAACACUCAGGGGCUUAUCUUUGUUGUUGAUAGCAAUGACAGAGAUCGUAUUGUUGAGGCAAGGGAUGAGCUCCAUCGGAUGCUAAAUGAGGUAUGCUUAGAUUCUUUAUUGACAACCCAUUAAGAUGGUGUCAUUAUUACAUGGCUAAGGGCCCUCUUUAUCUGUCUCCUGGGACUUGACUUUGGACAUGCAUUUAUGCAUUCAUAUACAUGAAUUCAUAUGGAUUGAUGUGCAAUAGUAUUUAAAUUCAGUGUACCUAGUGCACAAACUUACAAUUCUUCAAGCACAAGAACACAAUUGUCCAGGUAAUAAGAGCAGCUAGUUUGAAUCUUUUAUAUAUCAUUUUCUAUAUAUUUGAAAAUUACACCUUCAUGUAAUUAAUUGGCAUUGUCAUGCAGGCGACAAUGUUAAGAAUUUGUCUAUUUGCUAGUCUUGGUAUUUUCUUGAGCCCAAUCUUAAAACUGUGCACCAACCUGUUACUGAAUUGGAUACCCAGAAAGCAAUGAUCUAUGGCAUUAUUUAAAUUCAACAAUAAAUGAUUAGUUGUUCUAGAAGCAUAAUUGGUUGUAAAAAAUCUAAUCUAAUUAUCAAUAAUAUACAAACAUAUGGAAAUGUCAUUGUUUCUUAACUAAGUUCUGAUCAGGUGAUUGUUUCUAAUUUUAAGUGCUAAUAUCAUGAAUUAACAGUUUCUGAUUUAUUGAUUCCUAAAUAUUAGGCACCAAGUAACUAGGUCUUAGAGUGAUUGUUAACAAGAAAAUAUCUAACAAAUAGUUGUUAUCUUAAUUCAUUGGAAAAUGUAGUUUCAAAUAAAUAUUAUUUUCUUUGUUAUGUGUCUUGAAAAAUAGUUGUGUUGAUAUUUUCAUGUUAACACCAUAAAAUGAAUAUUAAAAGAUGUUACUGAAUUUGCUGCUUUGGCUUUGGAUUCUUAGUUUGAAAUUUCUUCCCUGUCAAUGGAUGUUAGGCUUUAAUUAGGAGUUGGAUUAGAAAAUGAAUUAUAUGUUCUGAAUUUUCAGGUUAUACAUGACUCGAUGUUAUGUGACUUGCAUAGAGCUCCUUAGAUAAGUGACAGCUAUCAUCCGUAUUUUAUUUUGGGAUGAUCAUUAUACUAUUCCUCUUAGCUACCUUUCUUGGUUGUCAUUUUGCUAUCUGACUAUUGCACCAAGAAAUCUAAUCCUUCUACUAAGCUCUAGUGUUUUGUGGGAUUGUGUACGAUGAUUUGAUGUAUGCGCUUCUCCUGUUGAAUUGGAUUCUUGGCCUUAACAUCCUUUUCGCACUAGAUCAUUUGAUUUCUCAAAACCUUGAAAUUUAGAAUUGUUGUUUUUACCAUAGAUAAAUUGGUUUCAAACUUACCAGUUCACUGAAUUGCAUAGUAACCCAGUGAAUUAGGUAAACCUCUUUAAAAACCUCAUUUUAAUGUGACAAAUGAUGGAGUGUGGCUGUCAUUUUGUCUCUAUGUACACAGCUAAAAUAUAUGAGAGGUUCCAAUAAAUGUUUGGUUUGUGAUAGGUUUCAUGAAGCAAAUAACCUAGGAUUUAGAAGUGACAGGACCUUUUCAAGACAGACCAAAUUGUUCAGGUAAGACUCCAUAGAUUCAUAGUCUGAUCAUACAAGGAUGACUUUUAUUAGCUCAACUUGGUGUACCAGAGGGAGGUUGUUGCUGACUGCAACAGCUCAAGUGGAUGUCUUUUUCUGAGCCUGUUGUAGGAGCAUUUAAUUCUUAUUUUACUGUAGCCUCUUUUUUAUUUAUCUUUUCUAAAAAAAAAUGGCCUCUUUUUUGAUUAUUUGUUUCUUUGUCCAUACUUUGUGAUACUAUGAUCAUGUUAAGUUUCUUUGAGACUAUUGUCUCAUUUACUUAAUAUUUUCGUUCGACGUGAAAUAGGGUAAAUGGUGACUGAUUGGUUUUUUUUUUUUUGUUGGGAUGAUUGCAGGAUGAGUUACGUGAUGCUGUGUUGCUGGUGUUUGCAAACAAACAAGACCUUCCUAAUGCAAUGAAUGCUGCUGAGAUUACUGAUAAGCUUGGCCUUCAUUCUCUGCGUCAACGACACUGGUACAGCACUAUUUAUCAUAAUGUUCUGUGGAUGUCAAUUUCUUUUUCUUAUUAUGCAAAUUAAAUUGGUUUUGUUUGUGUUUAUAAAGUUCCUGUUAGGAGGAUCGUAUGUAGUCUUAGAUGACAAGGCAUUAUGAUGACUUUGAUAUAUAGGAAAAUUGAUUAUAUGGGCAUGAGCUUGUUUGGGAAGCUCUGUUAAAUUGUAGACAGCUAAGAUAUAAAAGAUCGUGUAUAUUCUUAUACUACAGGAACUUGACGUAUCUGUUGCAUUUAAAAAGAAAUAAGUGCCUGCGUUGGUUUUCUUGGUUAAAGAAUUUGCUUUUGAUUCUUGAUGAGCAUAACCAUGAGUUAGCAUCUGAAGUUACAUAAGAAACAAUAUGAUUCUAUAUAUAUUGUUAAUCUCAGAUGUUUUUUUUUGGGGACAGAAGCUUUAGUUCUGUAUAUGAUGAUGCUUUGUUGUAACUAAUUUGUUUAAUUAGCUGUUUUUGUCAAUUGAUGGAAAUAGGUGUGUUCAUAAUUUCAAAGACAAAUUCAUCAGAUUUAAGAAUAAUAGAAUAUGGAUGCUAAACUUUUAAAUUAGCUUUUUAAUUAGAAGAUAUGCACCUAUGAUUGUGGCUCUGGUUUGGUAGAAAAUAUGCCUUGUUUGAACUGAUUAAGGUGUUCCAUAUGAUAAGUUGAUAUUUGCUUUGCAAGGUUCCAAACAGGGGAAGAACUUAGAUACAUGCUCUUGUUUUCCUUAUUUUUAUCCAUAUCCCCAACAAUGUUGGUAUUUCCAUAUGGUUUUAUUGUGGAUUUAAUUUUUUUUCUAAUUCUUGCUUUCUCAUGGAUGUCAUAUAUGUUUUUUGUCUCAUAAGUAAAUCAAAAUCCCAGGUUGUCGAUGUCAAUCAUAUGAAUCUGAUUUCAUUCUAGGCAUUGAAUUCCCAAUAGAUCCUACAAGAAUGAUCCUUCUGAUUUCUUACUUUGACCUUGGUGUAUCUUACUUUUCUCCGUCUAAUAUAGAAAUCAGUUUCUGCUUGUAUUUGGUCAUUUUGCUUUCUCCAAAUUCCAGAGACAUGGGUGAUAAGCAUACUUUGUGAUGAUCACCAGUGGAUUUCUAUGGUUGAUUUGAUAGUAAGCUUUAGAAGAAGGAUCUGUAAUAGUUCAAUAACCCUAACUUGUCAUCUCGUAUUCCACAUACCACUUUGAUUACAAAAUAUCGGUGAAUUAAACAAAGCAUUCAUGAGUUCAGUAGCAAAUAUAACAUAUACCUCAGCUCAAGGUUUGGAAAACCACCCCGACCAUGGUUCAGGCUGAACCGAGGUAGUCUUGGUUUGCCUGGAAGCAGAACUGUGUAAGUUAGAGGCGAACCACGUCUAAGUUGUUGUCAAUAUGAACCCAAACUGGCUGGUUCAGAACCAGGACUACUUAUUUAAUGAACAGGAGUUCAGGACCCUUUCUCAUCCCCUUCUAGCACCGUUUGAGGAGUGCCAGCCUUCUUGUCCUCUCUCUCGUUGCAGAUAUCAAUUGAGGAGAGCAGGUUGUUGAGGAGCCGGGCCCAGUCGUUUUUAAUUUGGCAUCAAUUUUUUUUUGGAAGAUGAUUUUCCCCCUUUUUCUAUUGUGUUCUGUCUCAAAAAAUUGUUUACUGGUUUUUUGUAUUUUCUGUUAAGUAUGUGAUGUUAGAACUCAAAUUUUGGGAAAAAGACAUUUUAAGUGGUUAAAAAUAUUCUGUUUUAUGCCUCAUUUACAUUGAUUUAUUGCAAAUGGGUUCUCUUUUUAUUGGGUUUCUAUUGUGAUCUUUAUUAGAUGUAGUUCAAUAUGCGUUCUCAAUAAUGUUUAAACUCUUAGAUGCUUGCUUGCAUGCCUGGGUUCUUUGGUUUGAGGAAGAUUGAAUCACUCGAGAGUCUUGGAGUCGGCAACGUGUUGUAGAGGUAUUGUACAUUCAGAAUGGGAUUUUUGGAAACAAUCAUGUAUCCACACAUUUAAUAUUUCUCAGCUAUUCUUUUUUUUCGCUCAUAAGGUAGAUAUCAGUAUAAAAGAAGCCUUGUUCAUAAAGUGAAAAUACAAUAAGCUGAAUCGUUUCUUAUCAUUUUAAAUGAUUGAUUGAUAGUAUUGCAUUGUUUUCUCUGAGUUUAGAUCUUUUUUUCUUUUUACGACUAGAAUGGAUUUGUGGGGGAUUUUCUGUUUUGCAGUUUUGUUUCUUUCUGCUUUAUAUUGAUCAUCUGGAAAUGGAUUUUGUGUGUUGUACUGUGUUGCUUGGUAUGCUAAAAUGCAGAGUCCGAUACUUGCCAGCAUUAUAGUGCCAACAGUUUGACCAAGGGGACUUCAUAGUGAAUGAUUCUUUGAUCACAGAUGGAGGCAGCGUUCUGGACUUUGUAACUUCAUCGAAAUAUUGUAGGGCACCCUAAGAUUAGAAUGUACUGAAAUUUAUACGAGGGGAUUGCACAUGCCCAGUGCAAGUUGGCUCUCAGAGUAGGGGACUGUACAUUUUGACAUACUUUGGAGCAUGUGUAGUUAAUGCUGACAAGUUUGAGCUUGUGACAUCUCCUGUUUAUUACUUUAUUACCUGAGCCUUGCUUGUAUAUUUUGAUGUUGCUCUUCUACCUUCUUCAUAAAGGAAGCAAUCAGCCACUUAUCCAGGUGAUGUAUUAUUUGGUUGCAGGUACAUACAGAGCACUUGUGCUACCUCGGGUGAGGGGUUGUAUGAGGGGCUUGAUUGGCUCUCGAACAACAUCGCCAACAAGGUGCACAUCCAUUCCCUUUUUUUUUUUUUGUUUAUUUAGCCAUAUGUUUAUUAGAAUUGUAUUAUUUAGCUCUUUAACUUAAAUAAUAGCUUGCUGAUAUAGCCAUAUACAUAUAUAUAUAUAUAUAUAUAUAUAUAUAUAUAGUAGUNNNNNNNNNNNNNNNNNNNNAUAUACAUAUAUAUAUAUAUAUAUAUAUAUAUAUAUAUAGAGUGCAUUCAGCCUUUAUACCUUUGUUCUUUUAUUAGCACAAUUCUAUAAUUCAAAUGUUUGCAUAAAAUGAGAUUUUUGGGGCCCUGAUCUGGCAUAUUGGCAUUGUCUUUUUUUAACCAUCCACUCAUGUAUGUGGCACGCAUUGGAAUGCAUAAAUGAGUGUGGCAAAACUCAUGACGUGUUCAGGAUUGAUAUCUGGGUUCCCCUGGAAAGAUUGGAGUUGUGGAGAUUCCGAUUUCGAAUGUUCUAAGCUCUGGCACUUUCUGACUGGAUAUUUUGGUUUCUUUUCCAGGCCUAAAAUUUUCAGCAUGCUGGGUAAAGCGUUUCAAUAUGUUUCUGGAUUACAUAUACCUUUUGCAGUUGUGGUGGGUGGCUUGCUGUGGGAACACUUUGUGGCCAUCAGUUUGUUGGUCGUGGAUAAAUUACCAUCUUUUUCCAAAUUUUCUUUCACUCAUGUUGUAGCGUUCAGAACCUGUCACCGAGUGGGCUUUGGUGUAUUUGACUUAAUGCAGUCUACAGGGUAGUGUUAUGUGAUCUAUUUACAUUUCAGUGGUUAUUGUACAGGGUUGUGUUCUGCUUUGGGUUGAUGAGAAGCUGUGUAGCUAAUAGCUGCAGAUGUUAGCCCUGCUGUUAAUUGCCUUAUCAUCGUAUGUAAGCGGAGAUGAUAUUGAUAUUGCUGCUUCUACAGUAUUGCGUAAAAAGAUAUUUCCACUUCAGAAUGCGUCUAGGGUUUUCACCUCUUCAUUGAAAUUUAUCAUCCUAAAUAUGAGGGAUUUAAUGCUCCAGCUGGAUGUCAAGAUCUCAUGUUUGUCCUCGCCCGCAACCCUCGGUUGUUGCAGUUGUUAUUGGGUGUUUAGAUCGAUGAUGCAAUUAAAGCCAGGCUCUAUGAGAUACGCGACCAUUUCAGAGCUGAUACAGAAAACCCUAUCUUUAAACCUCCUUAUCAUAACCCAAAAAGCUGUAGAGGAAGCUGUGUAUAUAACUAAAGCAACAUUCUGGAUACAGUUUUGUUGACUCGUUUACAAUGGGCAUCAGGUUGGAAAAAGCAACUCGAGCUAGAAUUCUUACAGGCGAUUUAUCAGACUUUUAUCUUGAAAAAGAUCAGCCAUGCCGGAUCUCAACAACAUGCUUCGUUGGAGUAUAACUCAGUGAUUCUCCCAUAAAAAGCAAGAUGGUGACCGCAUGCAGCGUAAGCAGAUGAGCAACGACAGUUUAAUUGAUGUUGGCUGUCCAACUGUCCACUUGCUUUUUGACAAUUUUUACAAACUCUGCUACCGUCACAAUUAUCAUAAAUCAAUGAGUGGACCAAUUAUAUGUUGUUAGCAUAAUAUAUGGUAGGGUACAUAAAAGAGAGCAUUAAAUAUAUGGAGUCGUUUGUUAUAGUGGUAGAAAGUCCCCAAUAAAAUAUAUAUGUCACACGAUGGGCGAUAUUUGUAUCAUAAUUGAAACAGCAUACAAACAAUUGAUGAUAAUUUCCAUGUGGUGACAAUGCAUCCAACACUUCUGAGAGAACCUGCAUGUUAGAUGCGAGCCUACGUUCUCUACCUCUUGCAGAGUAUCAGAAUGGAAAAAUGAUUCCUGCCAGAGCCAAGUCUUCGCUGGCGUAUGUCAGGGUUGGCUCCAAAUGCACAACUCUGCAUCAUCCAAAACUCUUGUUGCCUGGUACUGUAGACACCAAACUCAUUUCCUGUUUCUAAGCUGUAUGAUGAACCCAUUUUUUUCCCUUAUAAACUGCAGUCAAUAAUCAGUCCCGAUUUCAUCAGCUGCUGCAGAAAUUAAUGAAGCCGACUGGAUCUUUCCCGCAUGCUCCAGUCUCAUAAGAAUAACUCCCCUAUGACAUUCAUAAGGGGCGUCAUCACAAACAAAAGACCAAGGAAAAAAAAUAUAAUAUAUCUGAUGCAACUAAACUAGGGUCCAAAAGUUAAACAAGGAAAUUAAACAAUAAUUUCAUAACCCAAUUGGGAAGUGGGAGGAUAGUUUGAAUGCUACACCUGAUGCACCCUUGCAGGGACACACUUCCUGUCAAAUUUAGAACGCCAUUCAUUUAGUUCUGUGCAGGUGGGGAUGAAGUGGUGGUUGUAAUGUCAUCAGGCAUUAGGCCCCAAUAGGGCCGCAGCUAGAUAUAAAGGAAGGUGAAGAACAAAUCAGACACUGAUUACUUCAAUAUUUUCAAGAGAUCUUAUAAUGCACUUGAGAAGCUGGCAUGGCUAAUCAUAUAAUCACAUCAUGAUGGAAGGCCAAUCAUGAAUCGCACAAAGCCAAGCCCCACUGUCACCGUAAAAGAAAAGAUUCCUAUAUCUUUAACAUUUUCCAAAGGUUUUGGAUGGCUAGAUUUCCAUGCUCAUCUAAUUGUUGCUUUCUCAUUCUUGGCAUGAUCAGCAAUUAAUAUCUCAUUGAGUAUGCAGUGCAAUCAGUCAUUAACCUCAAACUUCAAUAAUUCAUUUUGCAUUCAUUGUUUUACAUGCUACGAAGAAAUAAUGUUUAGUUUAAUUUUCAAUGAUCAGAAAAUCCAAUAUUUGUAAGGCAAGAAAAUGGGAAAUUCUUUGGAGUCUUCAUAUUCAGUAAUUAUUUGGUCAUGUCUCUUAUUUAAUGAAAAAAUCAACGGAAUACAUGAACCUUUUAGAAUCUCUUCCAAAUUCAUCCUGCAUUAGUGGUCAACAGUAAUCUUUUGUGAAUCAUUUGUGAUAUAUGACAGCUUCACAUUUUUUAUGAGUUGUUUGUGAUCCAUUACAAGGUUCUGUUUAUUGUCCCUUUGACUUGCAUGUCAUCCCUUUUAAUUUAAGUCUCCAGCAUUUCAGCCAUUUUCCCAAGUUGUUCACCAAUAUGGAGGAUUUAGUAAAUAACUGAAAAGAAAAGCUAAUAUUUCACAUUUGAAUGUGACAAAUUACCACAUCAGUUGAAAUAUCAGUGAACUUCAUGAUUUUAGAACUACUUAUAUAUUUUCUUGUACCUUUCUCUGGAAUUGUUUUUCCUUUUUUAGGCUUGUUCAAUUUUCUUUUGUUGAGACUGGAAUCAAGUUUUGAUAUCUUACUUACUCUUGUUAAUUAAUUUUGAUAAGUGUCAUCUUUGGUUAUUAACACAAGUACACUAACUCAUACAGACUGGCAUUGCUUUAUCUUUUAAGCAUCUGUCCAUGGCAAAAUGAGUCUUACUUGUAGCAAAACUUUUGGUGUAAAUACCAAAACAAGCAUGAUGAGGACACCAUUAACACUGGAAUAUUGAUGGUGUUUGCAACGUUUUUUUUUUUCAGACAGAGUAUUAAACAUAUGAAUUUUGUAGAAAAUCAAAUUUGACUUAAGUUUUAAGCUUUAAUUUAAGUAUUGUAUGCUGAUGUCAAGCUGGGUUGGCGCUAGCAUGGUACAUGCCACGCCGUGCUGAGUGAUGCUACCACUUUGCACGUGCUGGAACAAUAGCAUGCCAAGUGCUGGCACAGAACAGGCAUCACACUACUGCUGCAUGCAAGGCACUGGCAUGGUACAUAUUGUGCAUGCCAUGUCGUGUUGAUUGGCACUUAAAUCCAUGCUUUGGACCAAACAUUAACCAGUCCAUGUACUUCUGAACAUCUGAAACCUCAUCCAAGGCAUUCUGUUAAAAUUCCCGAGCUAAGUGUGAAUGCAUGCUGGUCCAUAUUGUGUGGUAAGUACCAAUUCUAGAAAAUAUGAAUGUGAUAUAAGGAGUGUGUGCAGAGGUACUGUCUUGGUGGUCCCUGCUGUGAGGCGUGGGCUAAAACAGACGAAUACAAAUUGGCACGGACCUCUAUUUUCUUCAAAUGAGCCUUAGCAUGUCAAUGGUACCAUGCCACUUGUCAAAUUUAGUCCAUGAAAUUUUCUAACAAAUUCAAAGACUCAAAUAGGAUAUCGAUUUAAAAAUACUAUGAUAUUGAUGCAAUGUAAAAGGUACAUAAACUGCUUCUAUUUGAGUGGCAUUUUUUGAUUUACCCAGAAACCUUAUCCGCUGAACUGAAGGUAAGUUACUUGUCUUGUUGGGUUCUAGUGCUCAUGGCAUGCAAAUCAGACAAGCUGAGAAAUAUGACACACAGAAAACCUCACCAAAUCCAACCCAACCUAUUGGCACUGCUACCUUAGACCAUAAGGGUACCAGAAGAGGGGGGCGUUACAUGUAACCAGGAGCACCAUAUUUGUACAUUUUUAACUCCCCUACAUAAUGGAUUUUCAUCAAAACAAGGUCUAACAGCAUUCAUAGUUCGUCUAUUGUAUUUGGAUUAGCAAACAGACACUAAUUACAGUCUUAACUGUGCAAAUUUCUACAUUUUUUUUAAAAAAGAAAUCAUUAAAAUCUACAUAAAUGAAAUUCUGUAGGCUUCCUAUCCAUCAUCACUUUCAUUAUUUCAUUCCACAAAGAAGUGGACUCUUACCAUAAGUAUGACCAUCAAAGCUUGUUUCAACUUUUUGACAUCAUCUUCAUGAACCCUCAUUCAAGAAGCCUUCCUAUAGAGGUGUUCUGGUAUUAACUUAAAAACUUUUUCUGUCUCCUUUCCUGCAACUUCUGUCCAUGUUAUUUUAGAUAUCACCCUUCCUGUUCCUACCGCCCAUACUAUCUCUUGGUUCUCCAUCACUUUCUCCUUUGCAACUCAUGUCUCUUUUUGUAUGCUGAAUUCCACUCUUAAUAUUUCUAGUUUUACUACAUAUCCAUCCCAACAUUAUCAUUUUCAUUAUAUUCAACUUGUACUCUUGAACCCUCUGUGUUAGUGAGUCAUACAACACCAAAUGCUUUAUUGUAGUUCUAUUGAUCAUGCUUUCUUGCCAAGCGUUGGUCAGAUAACACCACUGUGGCACCUGUACUUCAGCCAUUGUGAUCUAUUUCUCUUACAUAUGCCUUGAUCUAUCUCCCCAUUGUUCUAUAUGAUAUAUUCCAAAUCACAAAUGCAAUUACCAUAUACUCUUCUCCAUCAACCUUGAAUAAGUUCUCAUCUCUGUUUCUAUUUUCACUAAAAUCACAUUUAUAUGCUAAGGUAAGCAUUUAUUUUUGUUCUUUAUCUCAUCAAUCAACACUCAAUCUCCUACAAAUAAAAAAAAUCAUAAAACCCACAAUGUGAUUGUGUAUUGCUGCAGAUAAUGACAUCAUAUUUAAAAUCCAGCAAUUAUUAAUCAGUUAAUGGGAGGACAAAAAACAAAAAGAAAACACAAUGUAUAACAAGUACCUUGCAUAGCGUGACUGGACAGAUAUAUCCCGAACCUUGAUUCUGUUUACAGUCCCACUUUGACUAACUAGAACUACUUGUUCAUCACUUUCCCCAUCUUCUGUAUAAUCAAACAUUUUUUUCUAGUAAACAAACUUGCAUUUGUAAAAUAAGUAUCUACAUAACUGAUCAUCAUAAACAGAUCAAAGCAAAAGAAAAUACCUGCCAAAGAAAACCCAACUACAAAUACUGCAGCAAGACAAUGACCUGGUGGAAGCUGCAAUCAAAUAAUAAAAGAUAAGCAAGACCAUGCCAAUUUUCCUGUGCAUGCUGUCCCUGCAACUGCAGCACUUGCAUUUAUCAUAAUGUAAGAGAUCCAUAGGGCUGAAGAAGGGGAAGGAAUAUUUUAUGGAUGGCUUUAAAUGCAUUAGUAAAAAGUCGAGACUUUUUAUACAUACACCCAUUCGUUGUUGAUUAACAUUCUUGUUUUCACCUCAUAAAAAAGAGAGAAGAGGGUGCAUAUAACUAAACACGGAGUGCAUUCAACUCAUUCCAACUUUUUCCCUAGACAAGGCAGUCAGUUGCAAUAGAUGCAACUUAAAUUCACAUGAUGGCUUUUAACAUUAUCAAUGGAAGAGAUGCAUAAAGCUCCCAUUGUUGCUUGUAACUUGUAGAGAUGGAUGAUUGUUUUUGAUUAGGCAAGGCCUAUUUUUUGGGUUUCAGGUUUAGAAUCUAGCACUUAGAGAAGUUUGAGAUGAGGAAGUAUUAGUGAAAAUUGAGGAAGGCUGAAUGCUAAAAGUUAUUAGUUGGACAAGUUAUAGAAUGCACCAGUAGUGAGACUCUGUUGAGUUGAGACUCAAUAAGGCACCUACGAUUAAAGAACAGAUUUCCUCACUGCUUUGAUUUUGACAUACACCACAAAGAAUACACCUCAGAAUUUUGUGUGAUUAUUAUUACAUUGAAUAAACCACAAAUAGCAAGCUCUCAUGCUACUUAGCCAGAUCUAUAUGUUUCUCUUAAGAAACAUAAAGGAAAAUUCUUGAGCUGUCAAAGUUUUCAGAGCAUAAAUGAUGAGGAUUAAACAGGAGCACAAAAAUAAAGUUUAGGAAAGAUGAUGUCACCAUGGAUGCAUGGCAAUGAAUGUGCACUAUGGUUUCAGAUACAUGGACAGAAUGCUUAGGAGUAAUGCUAGUGAAGAGAGACAUCACACGGUUGACAAUGUGCAAUGCAGAGAUAGCUCUAUUUAUGAGGGGUCCCAGGUUGAGAUUGGCGGAUUGGAAAAAAAAAGUCAGGAAAUAAGGAAAACUUAGAUGGAGAUAGAGUUGACAAACUUCAAUUCGACAGUUAAAAUUAAGUUAAAAUCUAGGAACCGACGUUUGCCAUACCAGUCAGCACCAUUGCAUACCUACCCCUCCAUACCGUACCGAUACGUGAUAGGAGGGGCAUACCCGACACUCAAUAUACCAAACCGGGCCCCAUACCGGGCAUACUGAGAUGGCAAACUUUAACAUGGACCAAGUUGAAUCCAGGCAGAUCCAUGCAUAUCGGGUAAAGAAUGGUUUAUCUCAUAAUUUUCUAGAUACUCAUCCAUUAAAAAAGAGAAAAUAAAACUAGGAUAUACCUUGUAACCGAUCAGGCCCACUCUAUUAAAAUUUGACAGUCGAAAUGCGCUAAUAGGCACACGCUUACCAAGACCAUUUUCAGACACAAAAAGCAGCCACGGGGGUCCCACAUCUCUACCCCUGCCAAUGAUAUAUAUAUAUAUAAGCACAUCAAUAAAUAAACACUGUCAGCAUGCCAAAAUAGAUAAUGACAUGAGAGUAGAUGUUAGGAAAGCAUAUUACAAAUACAUUGAUAUGUUAUAAUUAUUCUUACAAGCUUAAGCAAAUGAAUGGUAGUCUAACUUACUUUUUAAAAAAGAAAUGAUAGUUUUCAUAUAGUCUUGCUAUUUGUGCAGAGAAAAAUGUUUGCAUGUAUAUAAUCAUGAAAUCACUAACAGAGGAAAUCCAGUCAAAUAUAAAAGUUACCUGCUGCCAGAACUAUCUGGCAUUUUUUGCAAGUCUCUCUGCCAAUCAGCAGGUAUUGUGUCCAUGGAUGCAAUUUUGUCUCCUUCUUUAAGUUUCAUCGAUGUCACACCCCUUGUUUUUCUUCCUAGCGCGCGAAGCUGGAUCAAUGAUGGGCAAACAUGCAUAAACAGAGAAUAUAAUUAAUGAACGGACACUCAACAGUCCUCCAAAUUUUGGCAACAUGCAAAGAAAUGUAAGAGCUAGAAACAGAAUAGUCAAGUGAACUUCUGGCCUAAUUUUCCAACAUAAACAAGGAAACCAGGCAACCAAACUGAGUUUAAAAUGACUGCUGAGUGCAUUCAAAAAGGAUCUUCUAACAUGAUCAGAUUGCAGAUACAUUAAAGACAGUUAAUGUUUGCAGACCCUGCAGCUAAAAUGUCGCAAUCAAGGAUAUAUUGCCACCUAUUUCAGAUAUAUCUGAAGGCUGGUUUGGAUGCCGAUUUGGUCCAACUAUGUACCAACUAGCUUUGAGAUAAUUAAAAGAAUUGCAUUAUGACAUAUCAUCCAAUUCCUAGUUUUGGCAUCUAAGCCUGCAUGCAAUGGCAUACCCUGAUAGGACCUUCACCAAGUCACAAAUACUUAGUUUCCACAAUGUAAUCAGAUAGCCAACAGAAAAUGGUUUUAUUUUUAAAAAACUAACUCUAAACUGGAUUAAGCUGGAUUACUCCCAAAUAAGGGUUGCAAUACUAGCACCAUGAUCCACACUGAUACCUUAUCUAUAGUACAGUAUGGUACUAUCACAGUCUGCCUGCUGGUGCCAACAUAGCAAAAGUGAGGUGCAUCACAUAUAUCAUUACCAUACUUUACCAAGAGGCAUACCAAUACUGGUAUCUUACCAGUAUGGUAUAGCAUAGCUGGUAUGCACCAUUACUUAAAUCGUUGCUCCCAAACGACUUCUUGCAUAACCAAGCAACCACCUACAUCCUUAAAACUCAAACAACUACUUCAUACCAAGUCCUAGAUUUCAAAUAUUAAAAACAACAUACCAAGGUUUGUCAACUCAGAAUCGGAUUCUAUGCCGGUCAAUUAGCGAUACGAUUCGGUACACCCCCGUAUCAGGGCCGAACAACAUGGAAACGAAAGCGAGGAAGAGGGAGAACUAAAGAGGAAGAGAGAGGGGGUGAGGGAGAGGAAAUGGAGGCCGAUGAAGAUGCCGGCGAUGUCAACCAAAGAGCCAUGAAGGCCCUCGAAGGGCCACCGAGGCCUUUGAGGCUCCACCCUCCACAAGAGAAGAGUAGAAAGAGAGAGAGAGAGAGAGAGAGAGAGAGACGGAANNNNNNNNNNNNNNNNNNNNAGAGAGAGAGAGAGAGGAACGGAAUGAGGAAAAGGCAGCAGGGAGGCCAACAGAAGGCCGAGGCCUCCAAGGCCCUCGGAUUGCGAAAAUUGACCCCAUGGUGUCGCAAAAAUUUUUAAAAAAAAUGUGAAACAAGGGCAAGUCACCCCUGUUUCGACCCCAUGUGGACAUCGUGGGGUUGAUUUCCGCCAUCCAGAGGCCUCAGAGGGCGGCCUCCCCACCAUCUUCUCCUCCGUCCAUUCCUCUCCCUCCCCCCUCUCUCUCUCUAUCUCUCUCUAUUCUUCUCCCGUGAAGAAGGGCCGAGCCCCGGAGGCCUUAGCAGCCCUCCAAUGGCCUCGGUAGGCCACUGUUGGCCUUUCCCUCUCCUUCCCUCCCCCCUCUCUCCCUUCCUUUCUUUCCUUCUUCCUCACUCCAUUUUCACCGAUGUUUCAAAUCGAAUGCCCAUACCGGUACAAUUCGGCACACCAGAAUCACCCAGUCCCGAGCAGUUCGACAUUCCAUGCAAUAAACAGUCAGGUUUUGAUUUCUUUAUUCUUUCUUUUUUUGUGUAUGGUACCACAAAUAUGUAUACAUACCCAAAAUAAAAAAUAAAAAAAAAAAGUAAUGCAGACAAAACUGCAUCUUCAUCACCAUGGGAGAUUUUUCACAUGAUCCACUUUAAUAAUGUGUUGCAACCUAAUGCACUAUAACAAAUCUUAACUGUUAAAUCAAAGGUGCACAAUAUCUUGUGCUCAAUUGUCUAACAUCAAAUGAAGCAUGCCAUACCUCCCACAGGGACUAAAUGCUGUGGGUGCAAUUAAUUCACCAUUGCAUAAAUCAAUACAGCUUCACUGUAUCUGUGGAUUAGCAAACCCAAAGGCUCAUACUCAGUUCACAUUAAAGAAGCCUGGGUUCAAGAGACUGUUCCACAUUUUGACUUCUGGGAGACCACAAAUAGAUGUAUGUUUUUCAGUUGAAAAAACAAUUAUACUUGUAAUGCAUCCCAACUCCUAAACCCUGAUCAUAACAUCAAACUGUCAAAGGCUAAUGUCUGUGAGCAGAACCAUUUACCUAUAAUUUUGAAUGCAAAACCUCACUUUGAAAAUUACAAUUGAGAGAACCUAUCAAACAAUUGAGCACAAUCUCCAACCUCCAUUAGUUGGCAGGCUCACCAAUCAACCAGAUGCCACGCCUUUGCAACAAAUUUGUAACUACUCUAAAGAAAGUCAUUUCAUUUUUCCCCAAUUCUUCUCCAAGAUAACAAUUAAUUGUCAUGGCACAAUAGGAGCAGGAAAAAGCAUAUCACUCUCAGAAUAUCCAAAAAACCAAAAGCUAUUUUAACUGAGAGAAGCUUCCUCUUGGAAAGACAAUUUCUUGCCGAACUCUUCAAUAAUUAGCCUCCAUUCCUUUGCUUUGUCUUCUAAUGUUAGUGGCAGCAUCAAUGCGAGAGAGAGAGAGAGAGAGAGAGAUGCAAAGUCUUGAUGCAAUAAGGCUUAUCACCAGAGAGUAGGUCACUUGCAGAUCUCAAAUAUACUAGUUAAGGCUUGUCAUUAUAUGUAUAGCCCUUAAUCCAUGUUAGCUUUAAUAGCGAUAGUCCAUAGUCAUUAACAUUAGGAACUCAAACCUUCAAAUUUUCAUUUCAUCCAUCUUCUUGUGUUUUCUAUUCAAGGUUCUCAGAUUACACAUACAUUUUUUUAUUGAUUAUCAUAAGCCAUUGCAGGAUUAUGCUUUGUCUAAUCUCCUUGAAAGUUGUGGCUAAAUAAUAAAUCAAUUAUUAAAAGAUGAUAAUGAAAUUUGGCCAUGAUAUCAUGUUGCUCUAAUUUUCCUUCUUAUUCCAAGUUUUAAACUUUUGCAAUUUGCUUGUUCUAAUUCUCUAGCUAUACAUGAAUUCCUGGCAUUCUCAGUUGAUACAUGGAAUCCAGACUAUUACUUUCUCCCUAUCCAUAGAUUAAGAAGUUUUAAGGGACAACAUGCCACCAUUUUAAGUAAAAUAUUAGGUAUCUAACCUUGUUACAGGAAUUUACAAUAACCAUUGCAUUCUGGGAAGCUAUUGCAACAAGGUCAUCAUCUGCACAGCGACGAACCCAUUUUAGCUCAUCACCAGGGAUCUGCAAAAUUAAAAAAGAGUAAAUUGAGAAAAAUAUGAAAUAUUAAUUCAAGGGAAAUGAUAAAUAAAUGGCAUGUGCAUCCGUAACAAGUUAUACCAGCUGUAUUGCAAUAAUUCCUGUUGCUCUGAUAGCUGAGAAAGCAUUUAAAGGAACUUUCUUAAUAUACCCAUUCACAGUAAGCAUUAUUAGGUACUGAUCUUCAGCAAAUUCGCUGACAGGAAUGAUGGAGGUUAUUCUCUCUCCCUCGGAUAAUGAUAGCAGCUAGCACCACAGAGACACACACACAGAGACAGUGAGAGACAAAAAUGAAUAACUGCAAUUAUAGAUUUAACUUUAUAGAAACGGCAUGCAAUUCAGAGAAUUAAAAUAUAUAUAUAUAUAUAUAGGGGGAAAAAAAAAGAAACAAGCUAUGGAUACCUGGACCAAUGGAGUGCCAGCAGCACUCCUAGUGCACUCUGGUAUCCUGUAAGCACGAGCUGAGUAAACUAUUCCCUGAUCACUGCAGUAUGCAUUACAUCAGUUACAUACUUGCCUAAGAUACAUCCUAAUCAUUAGUGGAGAGUGAUAUUAAAAUGCAAAGUUCCUAGCAGUUAACUUUUAAGAUAUGCACCACAAGAAAAAGAGUGAGUUCCAUUUAUUUGUAUCAUUGACAACCAUAAAGGGUUUUUAACAUGCCAUAAAAAAUAUUGAUGAUGCGUAAAUAAUAGUCCAAUACAUGCUAGCCAUUGAACUCCUAUAUACGUUGAUAAAAAAUGUUAGAUGACAGAACAAGCACAAAACUUUCCAACAAUGAUUUUGAGUGCAUCUCCUAUUAUGCUAAUUGAGCAGCCACUUGAAUUCCAAAAAUUGGAAGUUUUCAACAGCAUUUUGGAGAUCUACAGUGACAAGAGAUAGAAACUGCAGCAAGUGGCAAACAUUGUCCAUUAAAAAAUUAUAGCAUCUUUGAGUAUUUGCACACAUAUAGACAACAAAAGAAGUUAAAAGAGGCAGGAAAGGAAGGAGAAGGAAUGACGAUUUACAAAUUCUUCUCAGUUCUGCAAUGAAAGUAUCCAAAUGUCAAAUCCAUUGGCAUAGGACAGAUGCAAUAAACAAAUGGCAUAUAUAAAUUAAAUAAAUAAGAGAGAAUUUUUCCACAAAAUUAAAAGCAUAAUUUCAUUUGAGCCGCACGAGCUGCAUAAAUUCAUGCCAACAGAAAAGGCUAAGAUGUUAUCACACAGAUAUCUCAAUCUCCCAUAAACUGGCAGAAAAGGAGUUAAGUUACUUGUACAUUUAAAAUUUGUAAUGAAUUUAGAAUUCCAAUGUAGUUAUUGAUGUCUUGGUGAGGACUAGUUCAAAAACUAAAUAUUAAUUGCAAUCUAUAACACUUUUAAACAAACGUAUGUAUAAGCCGCACAGUGGACAACUCAAAAAACAGGUCUCACAUCUCCAAGUCAACUCAAAACGUGCAAAUGCAUACAUAACAUCAUGAUAAAAUUGAGUUGACUACUUCAUAAUAUGAACAUCUGUAAAUUUUACUGGAAAUCAGGACCGAGGCUAACAGUCGAACCGUGCCCUCCUCCCAAUCAAAACAGGGUUUCCUGCUGACUGGAACCAUGCCACCGGCCAACCGGUCCGGGCCCCAGUACCGGCACAGCGAAUCUUGAGUGAUAGUGUUGCACUGAGACAAAGUAAAAGAUAAAAUGACAUCUGUAUUGUGGUCAUUGGUAAUACCUGAAAUAAAGGAUGUGAUCAUGUGUAUGACAGACAAUGAAGUCAGACAUUGUAUCGUUCAAUCUCAUCUUUCCAACAGAUUUUCCGAUAGUACCCCGAUGUUGUAGAUUAAAGGUGUUAGAUUUCAUCCGCUUAACAUAACCUUUCUCACUGAGUGUCUGCCAAAAGGAACCAAUUUUGUUAAUGUAUGAUGUAACAAGCAGAGAUAAACAAGAGGAAUCUAGUUUGGACAGGCUAAACAAACACCAGUAUGAGAAAAUAAUGCAAAGAGAAUCAUAUGCAUAAAGAAUGGAUCUAUUUUUUCAUACCAAAAGCAUUUCUUCAUUAGGAAUCACAUCUAUUUCUUCAAGUUGACUACUUCCUGCAUCUUCCAAUGAAGAACGCCUUGGAGUUCCAAAUUUAUUCCUUAGCUCAACUGCUUCUUGUUCAAUAAGCUGAAAUAGAAAACCGAUAUAUUAUAGAUAGUAUAUAAGACAGGGAGACAGCAAUAGUAGUAUAUACCUAAAGGAAUAAGAAUGUUUAGACAGAUUAUUAACUUAUCCAAAUAAUUCCAAGAUCUAAAGCAAAAACAAUGAUGGAAAUAGGGGGCUGAAGAAUGGACAACACUUUCAUGCUAUGAAACUACAUAAAAAUAACCUGUUACAAUGGCAGUAUAAUUUUUUUUAAAAUCCUGUAGCACCAAAGGUACAUCAAUAGUCAUACAAUCACUGAAUAAAUCAUGCAGAAAUUAAAAAAUUAAAAGAAAGAAGUGUACAUGUAAAAAAAUAAGAUAACAAAUAAAAUGAGAAAAACAAUCCAAAGAUCAAGGAAUAAAAAUUCAUGCCAUCACCAUAUAAGUAAUGCAGAAUUAAAAACUAAAAAAAGUACAUUUGAAAAAUAAAAUAAGACAAAACAAUGCAAGAUCAAGGAAGAAAAUGCAGCUAGUACAUGUACCAAAUCGAAAAGGCAAACAUGUUAAGCCUGAUAUACAUUAUUGACCCAUUUCCUAACAGCUUCAAUUUUUUAAGUGAAUUUUAAUAAUGGUAUCAAAAGCUAGGGUAGCUGGAUGUUAUUGGUUUUUAAAACCCUCCCAGUCGAUUCAUCUCAUGUCUCAGCUUAUUUAUCCCCUUGGAUGCAAAAAGGGUCAAGUGGUUAUGUAGCAAAAUAUAUUUUACAUUAGCUACAAGCUGUAAAACCAGACAUAUUUGCCAGACCAAUGUGCAAAACAUAUUGAGAAAUUGCACCAUACUCGGGCUUGGAAGGCCAACCAUAACAUGAUGAGUCGCCUGCAUUAGCAAAUCAUGAGUAGAAAUGAUGGCAUACCAUGGGACAUACUAUAUCAAUACAUGAUUGACAUGCCACAUACCAUGGCAUUUCAAACCUAGAAUGGCACUAGUAAAAACUACAUUCACAAUUAUAAUUCUUCAAUUAAUAUUCACAGUUUGCAAGGUAUGGCAGGCUUAAAUUGAAGCAUGAACACAGUAACAAGUCUAGUUUUCAACAUUUUGAUUUAACUUUAGGAAAGAUGCCUCAUCAAUUGAAAUUUAAGUUCCAGAGUUCACACUACCUUUAUUAAGUAUUAUUUCAUCUCCCUUCCCUUCAGAACCUCCAACCUGUAUUCAAGAUCCCCUCUUAAUCACAGUAUUUACAGCAAGCAUUAAACAAGUCAAAACCAUCAUAAUAGUUUGACCUGACUCUGUCUGCUGUCACUGCUGCUACUCAACUUCUUUGAUGUAUUUAUGCUUACCAUAUCCCUCUCGUUUCAUCAUCAAUCCACCUUAGUAUCCUCCUCAAUUUUAAGCUCCACUUAUGCUGAUGGAUCCACCUUGCUCCCCAACAGUGGGUCAUACAAUUAAGCAAGUCAUAUAAUCAUUUUAUUUCAAUUAUACUUGACCAUGGCAUCCACGUCAUCCACCUUACUCUAAGGCAAUGCCCUCAUCGGCUGCUCCUUUUGUGCAGUAGAGCCAAUGUAGUAGAAGAAUGUUUUUCCGUUAUAUCUUGUUCCUCAAUUUCUAGUGAGGUGCGUGUGUACAUGACUCCAAGCAUAAUCCCACCAGAGUUGCAAAUCUCUUCACCCACAGUUUCUGGUUUACAUUCCUGAGCCUGUACCUGUACCUUGACUAGAAUUGCCAAAAAAAACAUGCUUUUUCUUUCUCGUAAGUUUUUUUUUUAAUAAUAAGACCUUAUUUCUGGCACUUCCAAACUGUCAAGUUGACGUCAUCCUCCCACAACAUCUACAGCACUAAGGGCCACCCCCACCUGGACAUCAACAAAUCAUUCACCUAAAUUGUAUGCAAAAGGUCUCAAUUUGUGUCACCAGAAAAUACUUACUCUUCCCACAAAUGUUCAUAAUCUUGUACUUGAUCAGGUGAGUUGUCAGCACAACUAAUGAAACCAUAUAGCAGGUCUUCGCUUCAAUGAGAAUAAAUAAGCACUCUUGAUACUCAAAUCAAGAACCUUGCAUUAGUUUUCUGCUUUGUUUCCAUUAUAUAGUUUUUUCUUCUACACUGUCGAUGCCUCCAAUCAAAUUGUUUUUUUCUUGUGAAGUUUCUAUUUCACUUGUUUCAGUAUCUCGAAUGAAAGAACUUAGCAGAUUAAAUCUGAUUCAAAAUUUUAUAAUGUUUAUCUUUAUGCUGUUUGGUUUACUGUUGGCUAAGAUUUUCCCACUUUAGUUAAUCACAUCAUACUGUUUCUUAACGUUUCCACUUCAGAAUUCAUAUUCGUCUACACCAAGGGCCAUGCUCCUCUUUUUUAAAAAAUAAACCUAUGCCACAUAUAACCAGAGAAGAAAAAACUUGCCUUAUAAAAGGGAUCUUCGGUGGAAAAAUUUUCCACAAAGAAGUCAAAAAAUGUUAAUAAGUAAAAUAAUUCAAAAGAAGAGGUACAGAAAAUAUUAUUACAUCAACAAAAGAAUCCCCGUACACACAAAAGCAUGUCAUUUGUAUUUUCUUACAAUUUAAAAAUAAGAGACUACCUGAAACAUGAGCUUCUUACUUGACAAGAGCUCAUUCAGCUUAGAAAUCUGUUCUGAUAAAGAUUCAGCUUCAUCUACAAACUUCUUUCUCUACAAAAACAGGGAAAAGCACCUUAGCAUGAUCAGGGAAAUAAACCCGAGGCAAAAGGAAAAUUUCUUAUGUGUAACUUAAAAUAUGGGAUCCAAGAGAUACAAAUUAUACCUCAAGAAAAGUGAGUUUUCUCAAGGGUAUGUCCAAUAAAGCUUCAGCUUGCUUCUCAGAUAAACCAAAUUCUACAAUGAAGAAUAUAACAAACAUUAGGUGCACUGGAACCAAUAUGAGAAAAGGCCAAACAGGGGGGAGAUACUAAGGACCUGUCUGGAUACACUCAAUUCUCUUUGCAUUCCAUGGGAAUUAGACAAUCCAUGGAAAUCUAAAAGCAUAAUAGGAUAUGUUCGUUAAAAGUUCUUUGGAUGGAAUUUAAGGUUUCAAAAUACAUUGGAAAUUGGAGGAUUCCCUGGGGUAACAAGAUCUACUAAUGCUUGUGCUUUUUGUUACCAUGUUGUGCAUGAGAGAUGCGCCCUCCCCUCCCCCUCUUUCACAGAACAACUCACCCAUUCCAUUUCUUCGUUUUCCAAUUAUGUGCCUUCCUGACUUCCUGUCAGGCACGUGAAGCUCCGCCUCAGCUCUUCACAAUGUCUCUCUAAACACCUGCUCACCCAUCCCUUCAUCAUUCCCAUGCCUCUCUGACCCACCCCUCCUUUACUCAGAAAACCUGUAGCUUUGGUUGCAGAAGGCAUCCAUAAGACAGACAAUUAUGGGUUGUGGAAGUUAAUGAGAGAUGAAAGGUGUCAAGGGCAUCAAAGACAAUGGGCAAUGAUAGUGAUCGAAGAGAGCAUGGAAGGAGGGACUGACAUCAUGGGGGAAGGAGAGGGUGAUGAACAGCCAAGGGUGGACUCAAACCACUUGUCAAGACUGCCCAUCGCCCAGAUAAUGGCAAAGGGUGUGGGAGAAGUGGUUGCUGUCAGUGAUGUCUCAAGGCACAAAAACAGAUGAACUCAUCUCUCGCUCUUCCCUCACUAUUUGAGAAGAAAGUAAUUAUUUGCAUUUUGAUGUCAAUAUAAUUCAAGAAUAGAUUGCUUGCCUCCAUUCAGUACUCUUCCUUUAUUGUUUAUAAGCUUACCUAUAUCAUACCAUGCUUAGAAACCGCAAUUGGUUUGAGAACUGUGCUUCAAGGACUACAUUGUAAAGCCUCACCUACAACACCUCCUUCUUCCCUAAUAAACCAUUACCAAAAUAGUCUGUUGUUUGAUCAUCCUAUUUCACUAGAACAACUUAUAAUAAUCAUUAUAGCUGUUACUUUAUUAUAACCAAAAAAUUGAACAAAAGGUUUGAUUGAGUAAAUAAAUAGCUGUAAUUUUUAUUACAAUGGUCAAAAACAAUCUAUGAGAAUUUCAUCAUAGGGAGGCACCAACUUUUUAGUAUCUUUUCAUGAACUUGCAUAAAGCAUCUAGAAAAUCACAAUUUAUAUCAACAUACUGUAUCUUUUAACUCUUUCUGUUGUACAAUGCUCCAUAAUGUUUUAGGAUAAGUCACUCUCAAAAGAAAAUAUUUUAGGAGAUGAAAAGCAAGAUAGUUUUUACAAUAUAGUGAUAAAAAAAUUAUAUGAUGUAGCUUUUAUCUAUUUGUGGCUGUAGAACAUUUUUCCUGCCUAUUUUGACAAUCAACCAAACAGCAAAUAAAUAAGAAAAUCAUGAUAAGUUUUUUAAUGGAAUCCUCUUGUAGCAUCAUUCUAUUCCUAUAUUCUUUUAAAUACUCUAGUAAUUCUAGCAUAUGCACUCAAAGAAGCCCUAAGGAAAAUGAAGUAACCAAUUCUUUCCUCCGAAAAGGUUGUUAUUACAAAAUCCAGCAUGGGAGUGGGGGUACACAAAAAAAGAGACCACCGCAUGAGAAAGAGGAAGAUGGAACAGGCGGUAUUGUUACUAUAAACUAGCAUAAAGCACAAAAAAAGGAGGUUAAGAUUUUCUCUUGUGGGGGGGAGAGGUGACGAACAUUAACAAAACCUUGAUACAUAACUUAAACUGUAGGACUGUUAGCCAAAAAGGAAUUCUCUUAACUGAUUUCAUGUGCCAGGAAAAUUGUAGGUGGAACAGAUUUGAACUAAUAGAUAGGUACUGGGUCCAUAUGACUUUGCAUCACAUGUCAUGGGUAUAGGAAUGACACAAUUACGAGUCCAUGUAUCAAAACCCAGUGCUCCUAUCUAAGUCCAACUGACAGAAGUCACAUUCAGUACAGACACUGGCAAUGAAGGAGGCAGCUUGGAUUCUACAUGCAAUUUGCAAAAGAGAAGUCAGAAAUCUUGGAUGUUGAAAGGAAAGGCUUCAAAAAAGCUUCUAGAAAUUAAGGCUUCAAUAGGAUCAAAUAACAAAAGAAGGACAUCUAAGUCAAAUUAAUUGAUGGGUUUAUUUACUUAGUUGUCAACGUGGUAGACAUUUUUUCUUCUUUUUUAAAAGUAAUUGACAAAAGAAAAAAAAUAACAGUAACAUGGAUGCCAACAACAAAUAUAGAAAACCCCUGGUGAUAGACAUGCCAAUAUGGGUUUAUUGAAUAUCAAUUGAAGGAUGCAGAUUCCUACCCUUGACUAAAGCAGCUGUAGCCAUUGCAUUACUUGAGGUUUCCUUAAUCAUAUUAAUUACAGCAUCCAAAUUGUCAAGUCCCACAAUGAUGCCCUGAAAAAAAAGGGAAAACAUAAAUUAUCAACAUUUUAAGCACCUUAAUUUCCACAAAUUGCCAACAUACCUCUACAAUAUGCUUCCUCUCUUGCACUUGAGAAAGCUUAAAUCUUGCACGUCUUUCAAUAACGGAACAUCUGAAGUUAAGGAAUGCCUAGAACAUCACACCCGUGCACGCACCCACACACAGAAAGAAACAUUGUUGUCAUAUAAUAUGUUGCUAUAAUGCCAGCAGAUCAAUAUAAAAAGCAUUAUAUUCGUAGUCUUGAUGUUUAUGAGGCUGAUAUGAACACCUAAUAGUUCUGUGUAGAUAAAAGGCAAAAUAUAAUUUAUAUAUCAUCAAAGAAACAAGUCAUGCAUGCAGCAGUAUAAAAGUUCUCCAUCCCUCGUCGUGUUUGCAAUUUCAACUUUCAAGCAUGACCAACAGGGAAAAAACAUAACAGAAACAGACCUCUAAGAAAAACAGUACCCCCUGGCCCCUACAACCGAUAAUCAGCUAAAUUGCAACUAUACUUAGAUCAAGGAUUUAAGUUUCAUACGGCAGCACAAUACAGGAUGAGAAAGAAAAAAGCAAUCUCAUGUGAUUUUAGAGUUUAUACAGACACAUGAGCAGCACAGUACCGCAAGCUCACAUGCACACGCAUACCCACCCACCGCACAGACACUCACAUAUGGUACGAAGAAUUAGUAGUACUAAUUAUAGUUCCUACUCAAAUACACAAUCCACACUUAUGCAUUUCAUGAUCCUUCUUGAUCUAGACCAGGAAACACCACCUAUCACAACCUUAAGACAAGAAUAAUACAUAUACAUAUACAUAUAUACAUAUAUGGAACAAAUAAAAGUCAGAACCAUGUCCGCAAAAUGAAUGCCUCAGGUUGGCAUAUAGAAACUUGGCCUACUAAACCGAUGCUUCUACUUCUCAAGGAAUCACACAAAUUCCUCAGCCUUCAGUCAACAAAAAGUAACUGUAACUCUAUUAACCUUAGCAACCACGACAGCAUGUAUACUAGGAACAGGCAAAUAACAAAGCUUAAGUCUGCACAACAUAGCUAAAACAACAGUAUUCUACCCUAAAUGGUAGCACUGUACCUGUCCAACACCUACCAAAUGUCUCCACCACAAGUCACCAGCCGUACAUUACUGGCUUCCCUAAGGAUACCAGCUGACCUAAUAUACCAACGGCAUAAUCUCCACUCAGCAUAUUAGCAUAUGAGCACCAUUCCUCAAAAGCUUGUCAUCCAUGAUUCUUAUUUAACGGAACAAAAUAAAUAAGCAUGAAGUAAGGAGGCCAUUCCCAUAGAAGAGUAAUCUACAUCACCCAACAAAUCCAGGUAUCUGUGUCCAAAGUUCAUUUCUCAGCACAGAAAAUGAUAGAAAUAUGAUAUAGCACAACUAAUUCAAUUGACUUUUCUCAAUUUAUUUCUUACCUCUAUAGUUUACAAAAUAAGAAUUUGAUUAGUGUCAAUCAUGUUUACAUUUAAUAAUAUAUCUUCCAAACAUGGCAUAUAUUAUAUUUAAGGUCUAAAAGCCAUGCCUUAACAUCUUAUUUCAUGUAAUUACUAGUUCUUGAAAAUGCUGGCAAGAACAAAGUUCGAUGCUUGAAUUCAAAAGUUCAAGUGUUACUCAAAAAUGACUGAACAUGAAUGAGAUCUUGGAUACCUGAAGCAAUUCUUUCAAUCCCAUUAGCUUUGGCUGCCCAUCAAGAAUACUGACAAAAAAAAUGCAAAGAGAAUCAAGUCAGAAACUUUGUAUGCAAAUAUGUCAUCAUAAGAAAACAACAGUAACAUCAUAAAAAAGAGGAAAACAACCUAUCUUAUCUACAAACUUAAAAAGCAAUUCAAAGACAUAGAAAUCGAAUCAAAUGCUCGUAAGAUGCCUAACAACCCAUAGCAGCUAAACUAAACACCAGAGUUAAAUAAAACAACACCAGGCUUGAGGUCAUUUUAUAAUCAUGCUUAAACACUGCCAUAUACUGCAGCUUUAAUCAGCACAAGCAGAUGAGCUUCAGGAAUGGCACAGCCUGAGACAGCACUGAAACCAGUUCAAGUGCUGGGAAGAACUGCAUCUUAUAUUAGACACAGGCCAUACUGGUCUCUGAUCACCCCGCAUCAGUGUGACAUCAGCUAAUGUCAUAAAAUCAGUUCGAAGUCUUAAUUUGAGACAUUGGUCAGUAGAUCUGAUGAUACCAAGCCAAGCUGUCAGAUGCAUGUGCAUCUUUGUUUUAUAUUGGUGGUUUGUAAAGCCUGUAAUUUACAUGAAUAUGCCAGCAACUGCAACAACAUCAGUUCAUGUCAGUAGAUGACUCAGAAUGAAGAAAAACAAUGAUGAACUUCAAAGCAAUUCAGAAACAACAGCAACAGGGGCAACAAAAGCACAAACAGGAGCUCGAUGGAGUAAUUAGUUUAGCAUCAUAAUCUUAGUAACUAAUCCCUGCUUCUGAGCAGCAAGCCAGAAACAAAGUACCAAAUGAAAUUUUGUCCAACAAAAUAUAGUGCAAUUACAGAUAUAUUAGUAGAAGACAGAGGAAGACAUGAUAAAUAAAAGAAGCAUAUCAGAAACAAGAAUGGUAAGUUUUCUCUAAGAUCAAGAGUCAUUAAUAGGAAAGAGAAGAUUCACUAUUCAGCUAAUUCGAUAAUGAUUAAUGAAGAUUCAUAUAACAUCUUGCUCUACUAUUUAUUGAUAUUACGAACUUACAUAGAUAUAGGUUGGAAGAUACUCACCCCACCAUAUUGCAGCUGAAGCUAGACUGAAGAGCAGUAAGACGGAAAAGGUUGUUGAGAACUAUGGCUGGAUCUGACACCCUUUUCAACUGAUAGGAAGAAUAAAGUGAGCAUAAUUAGAAUACCGUAUAGUCCCAAUCCUGAUGUUACAAUUAGAAUAGCACAAACAAACCUCUAUUACUAUACGCAUCCCAGAUCGGUCACUUUCAUCACGAAUAUCACUAAUGCCUUCUAAAAUCUGAACCAAGAUUAUUAUAAAAAUAAAAAGCUUAGAAUACAUUUCUUAUGGUCAAACAACCAUAACUUUCAUGAUAAAAGAGACAGGUGACUGAAGAUCUUGUUCUUGCUUAUAAGAAAGUGUGUGGUUGAUAUAUGGGUCUUGAGUGGCCUACAACAAAAAAUAGACAACUAGAACAGCUACGAGCUUCAUGAAUAAGAAAACAAGAUAGAAUAAAAGCAGUACUACAGUUGUUAAGCUAUAGUAGUGCAACUACCAUGUAGGUCUAUAAAAGCUGACACUCAACAAAGCCAUAGUAGCUAUAAGAAGCUGUAAAUCUAAAAACCUUUAAGGAAAGCAUAUUCAGACUAAGACCAAAACAAAACAAAACAGAACCAAACCACUACAAUGGCAUGCAUAGUGAUCACAAGACCUUGAGUAAUUAUCCAAUAAGCAAAAUCAAGAAAUACAACUUUUUUCCAAAAAAGCACAUGACAUUAAAUACCAAUUUGUUGAUGGCAUGGCCACCAUUUACGAGUUGCACAUUGAAAAAAAAAAAUUACAAGAACAGCAAAAUCCAAGAACCUUGAGAUACAGAAUAAUCAUGUCAAUAUGUAGGUGCAUUGUGGAGAAUGCAUGUGUCUCCACAUCUGCCCUGUUUGGGUGCAUAAUUAUGUGCAUGGAGGAGAGUCUGUGUGUGCACAUGAACACACAUGUGAUUGCACAAUGAUUUUACAAGUACCAUGAAGGAGUUACUCGAUAUUCAGAUAUCUAUUUUUCCAGUUAUUAUGCAUUCCUGCAAUUUACUUGAAUUAUUGCAUGUUCACACGUGUUGGAACACUUCUUUGUAUAUGUAUCCAUGCAUGUAAAAAAAUUCUAAUUAAUUUCUUUUAGUUGGGUUUUCAUUGGUAAUUUAUUUGCAAUCUUCUGCUAUUUAUAUUAUACAUCUAGUCUUUCUCAGAUAUAUGCAUCAGCUUAUAUAUUCUAUCUUUUGAACUUUACAAAGCAUUCCACAUUCAUACACACCAUCAAUUUAUGAUUGCAUGGAUGCACACAUGCAGACCCACCCACAUAAACAAACAUGAGAAAAUCAAAAGCAUUUUUGUCCCUUACAAAGAUGUAAAUAUUUUAAAGGCAAGACCAAUAUGAAACUAUUCACAUCCAAAAAGCAUAUUAAACAGUUGUUUUGGUAAAGUUUGUAUUGAAUUUAUAAUUUAGCAUCUGUCCUUUUUUUUCUAAUAAUUUAAGUCUAUGUUAAUCUUUUAAUUAUUCUAGAUUGUGAAUUAUCAUCAAUGCAUUGUAAAAGUACUUUUGCCUAGAUUUACCAUUUAGGCUUUUUUGCUUAACAUGUAGCUCAAAGUAUCAUGUCUGAUAUCAAACUAUCUACCCUGUUACCGACUACCAAGGCCAUUUGAAAUCCAGGGAAACCUAAGAGGGUUGCUCCAAAGUACCAUAAGCUUAAAAACUGCAUCACAAGAAAAAGAUAUCUUUCUGCCAGUUAGUCUUUCAGCAUUCAGUUUAGGACCUCCUCUUAUCUAGAGUUGUCAUCGCAAUGGAUUCAGCAAAAUUCACAAUGAACAGAUGUCACAUUAAAGUCCACCAAUAAUAAGUUCUUCGAGCUUGAUGUUAUCAUCUAUUAUUUUUUUGAUCCAAAGCUUAAUGUUUGUGAAUUUAAAAGUCCAUUUGUUUGUUUUUGGAUGCAUUUAUUAUUUAUCAUUUAGGUCAAAUCAAAAUAUGUUCGUGAGUAUAGAACAUAAAAUCUUCCUUAAAAAAUGGAAAGAAUGGUUGCUGAAAAGCUCUUCAAGUGAUCUUCAAUGUCAAUAAAAAGCCAAAUUAGCUAUCAUGAUAUAAAAAGAAACAGUUAGAUGCCCUUAGAUGUGAGUUGACCACAGUUUGCCGCACCAUCCAGUUGACCUUUGUAGAUUCCAGCAAUAAUGAAGACAAGUAAAUCCCUAAAAAAUCACAAUAACCAAAGCUCUACUUCUAAGAAUGCAAUUCUGUAAGCUUGUAAGCUCCAAAAUUUUGGUGCUAGAAGGAUGGGCAACAACCUCAAAUUCGGUGCCUCAGCCAUCAUACUGUAUGCACCAGCCUUUGCCAAUGUAAUUCAGGAGGUAAUUGUUGGACCAAAUAAGCAGUUAUGAAAAAAGCAUGGAUACACAGGGUGAAUGGAAGCCCCUGUCAUCUGUACCCAAAUCAAAAUACCUUGUCUUCCACAAGUUCAGCAAUUUUCUCCACCAGAGCAGAUUUGUUUGUUUGGUAAGGGAUCUGCAAUAUAGUGAAAAAAAAAUUGAUGAAUUUUGAGUUUGUUAGACCAAAUAAUCAGAGAAAAAUUAGCAUCGCACAGACAUGUAAAAAAAAAUGAUAAAAGAAGAAGAUAGAACCUCUUUAAUUAUUAUGGCAGUGUGUUUGGUCUUUUCAUCAAGCACUUCCACAUCGGUCUUUCCUCUAACUACGAUGCGUCCUCUUCCAGUUCUAUAUGCCUCCAAGAUUCUUUGAAAGAAGAAAAGAAAGAUAAUAUGCCAUAACCAAGUCUCACAUAACUGGUAAUACAUACAAGAAGAAAAUAAAGAAAUUUUUCAUACCCAGCAUUCCCCAUGAUCAAUCCUCCAGUUGGGAAAUCAGGUCCGGGCAUGUAUUCCAGCAGUUCUUGGAGCUUGUGCACAUUUGAAAAAAAAAAUCAAGGCCUUAUAGAAACGGUGAAUUAAAGAAGACAAAUGCCAGGAGCAUGAAAAAACACAUUUUCAUUUUGACAAACAUCAACAUCAGGUGAUUAAUUUAUCUUUGACAACACAUGAACAAAUUAUUUGUGCUCUAGGGAUGCAAAUAAAAUCCUUCAAAGCAACCUCAUCAAGAUACAACAGAAGAGGCUUUGGCCAAUGAACUAAUUGAUUUUAAGCCCCUUAGUACUCAAGCAGAGAAGACAUGUUGUUCAUGCUUAAUAAAGAGAAAAUGGUACUUCUCCCCACCCCUUCCUCCUCUUCAUUACAAAGCCUCGGGGCUCUUCUCACAGAUCUAAAGCUCUUUUAAAGAGACCUAAGGCUUUUCAUACAAAGCGUUCAAAGCUUUUCCUUCAUAAAGGUCCCACCCACUUUUCUUGCUCAUGAUAUGGGCCACUUCAAGUCAGUACAGAGCUUUUGGUGCUCUUUCAUCAGAAUAUAGGAUUUAUAUGGAACCUUAAGCUUCUACCUGACUCUGUGCCGCUCCAUAGUAAAGUUAGAGCUCUCGAAGCUCCCAAUAGGUAAGGCUGCUAAUGGGCCAAGAUCGGGCCAAGCCUAGCCUAGCUCAAAUUAGGUAAGGGCUAAAAGGGUCAUGAAGUCAAGCAAGCAGCACAGAAAACAUAGAGGGAGAGGGUCAAUUCAUGAAAUUGGUUAUGAGAACAAGUUCGUCUUGGUCCUUGAACAUAACUAAAUCGAAAAUGCCCUAUAAAACCAACCAAAUCAAACCCAUAGUAGCUCCUAAAGUCAACUGGAACUACAAGCCCCUGAACGAAUUAAAACAAAUUGGACAUUGAAAAUAAACAAAUCGGAUUUAAAGAGGCCUCAAAGUCCCUAAGCUGGUUAAUUACAUAAAAAGAAAUAAAUAAAUAAAUUGCAAAACAGACUCGACAUGGACAUCCAAUUCCUAAAGCUCUUGGCUCCCUGAGGAUCAACUUAAAGGGGACCUCUCCUCCAAACAGAAUCUCAUCACCCUACUUUCAUCCGCAUGUAUCCAAGUUUCCUCGUUGCCAAAAGUAAUGUACAUUAGCGAUCUUCCCCUAUUCAAACCAAGUAGAGAACACGUUAGAACUAAUGAACAGAGUUUCCCACUUUUUGGCACUUGAAUAAAGUCUCUUAACCGAACAUUUCUCAAUCAUAGGGCCGAUUAACAGCAGGUUCUUUAAUUUGCUGAAUCAUGAACUUACAUAACAAAAAGCCCUUUCUUGCAGAACAAGCUUAACAAGAUUGAUGCUUUAAAUAAAAUAAUUAGGAAUCUCUCAUCCACCUUCAGGGAUUACUUUCCCAGCCCAGAAAGGCAGAUAUCUGAUCCCUUAGGGGACUAAAAGAGGGCAAUGUUUAAGAUGUACAUGGGUAAAUAUUUGUUUGUGCUAGAAGGCCUGCCACACCAUUAACCUCUAGAAGUAUUCCAAACAAAAGCAAAAGUGUGUCUUCGAUUGACAUUCAUCUUCAAAUCAAAAAGGCAAUAUAGUUAUAAUAUUGUUUAAGAGAGAAGAUUUUGCUAAGGUAGGUGCAAAGCCCAAGGAUCUUUUAAAGAUUGAAUGUAAUAUGUAAGGUUCAUGGACCCGUGCCAGCCAGCUGGCGGUACCGAUCGGUACGGAUCCAUACUGAACCGGACCGGCACGAACCGACACAGAGGAGAAGAGGCGAAUCGGAAGGAGAAAAAGAGAGAAACUGGGGAGGGGGAGGGAAGGGCAGGUCUUGGCUAGAGGAGACGUCGGAGGUGGCCACAGGCGGGCCGCCAGUGCACUAGGAGGGCCGUGAAGGCCUCCGCUUCAUCCGCCACUUGGCACAGAGAGAGAGAAAGAGGGGGGAGGGAAAGAAAAAGAGAGAGGGGAAGCCACCAGAGAGGUUGCCGAAGAGCCUCCAACUGGCCGCCGUGGCCGCAGAUGGCACAAUCACAGCCUCCAACGCCACAAGCAUGAAACAGGGGUGAUCGCCCCUGUUUCAAAGAAUUUUUUUUUUAAAAAAAAAUCGAUUACAGUGAAGUCAGCGAUGGGUUUUUAAGUGAAGCCGACAAACAUAUCGCCAGCUUCACUGUUCAUCUUCAUUUUUUAAAAAAAAGGCCCAUGCAUAAACAGGGACGGUCGCUCCUGUUCCUCGGCUCCACCCGCGCAAUUUCCGCCAUUUGAUGGCCACGAUAGCCACCUGACAAACUCCGACAACCCCUCCAUGGGUUACGCCUCCCUCCGAUACGUCACUUCCCUUCUCUCUCUUUCUCAUUCGAUUAAGUGCCCUAUCGACGACGCCGAGCCACGGAGGCCUCUCCAACCCUCUGGCAGCCUGCCGGCCUCAGUGAGCCACCACCGACCUCCAGCAACAUCGUGUCGUGCCUCCCUCCCCUCCACUCUCUCUUCCUCUCUUUCCCUCACUCUCCUCUGAUGUACCGUUUUCUCGACCGAACCAUCUCAAUUCCCUGCCGGUCCGGCUCGGUAUGAGAUGUACCGACCGGUUCAAGCCAGUAUGAAAUUCCAUGCUUGUGUGCACGGUCGAACCCCUCGAGUGUCUUUAGGUGUGACAUGCUACAACAUAGAUAUGUCACAGCAGAUAGCAUCAUGUGCUAAGAUUUAUCGACUAUGAUGAAGGAAAACACAUUUCAAAAAUAAAUAAAGUAUAAACAAACAAUAGAAACUUAUUCAUAAUAAUUUUCAAAAGUCAAAGAACUCUGCCUUUGCAUUCCUGCCCCUCCCUACAAAUUUCAUAUUAAAGAAAAAAAAACUUGAAAAAAACUUGGCCCAACCAUCAUGAAUCUAUAAAUAUUAUGAACAUAUACAUCAAGUUAUAUGAUCGAAUCAUACAAAAAUAUUAUGCUAUGACUUAUGACUGCGUAUUAUCAAAUUUAUAAGCUAUUGUCAAUUAUUUUUAAAAAAUUAGAUAUUUGAUUUAGUUUUUUCACAUGUGGUUCACUUUAAAAAGUCAAAAUCUUUACCUCGUCUAGAUAUGCCUGACCUGUCAUAAAUUGUUUGAGUAACCAUAGGUGGAUGUUAAUAGGUUCUAAGUAGCAACCAUCAUGAUCUAGCAAAAUUGCAGGAUUGCACAGGGUCUCAGUACGUACUGUACCAAAAGAAGGAACAAGUGUUCUGCUGAUUCCAGUAUUGUCCCAUACCUUACCAUACCAUGCCAAUAAGGUAUGACUACAUAGCUCAAUACCGAGCAGUUACCCUAAUGAAGAAGACAUUGUUUAAUUUUAGUAUUAUUACCUCAAAAUUAUUAAAAUCUAUAAAUGCAUUUUUCCUCUUGAAAAUCAACUUUCUGUAUUGUAUCAUUAGCACCUAAUCAUCUAAGAUAUUCAAAAGUCAGGGAUAUUGCUCCUCUUGAAAAUUAUUUUUAUCUCAUAUAACAUUAUUUUCCCAAUCAUCAACAAAAUAUUUUGUAGAUCUUUAAGACAAUACAAUACAACAAGCACACAUUCAUACACGUAAGUCAUCACUUCAAGGACUUAGCAGGCAUUUUCAGUGCUCUUUGUGCCAUCUGGUGUCAAUGAUCCAGCAAACCUCUUGCAAGAAUAGGAGUUAAGACUAAGGGAAUAUAUCAAUGCACGACAAGCAGCAAACUCUUGGAUCGAAUAAGAUGUGUUGAACAAUGUGAAAGAGGAGGGAGCAGUCCUUGGGGUUCCCAGCCCCAACAUAGAGCAACCAGCAUUGCUUGAGUCCACCAUGACUCAUCUACAGUAUUCAAUAAAUUCUUGAUGUUUGAGGAAAACUAUGAAGCAUGAGACACUGUAUUAUUCAGCAGCAAAAGGCAAAAUACAGGCACAUGAUAGUUUUGAAAAUGAUAAAUACCAGCAAAAUAUUUCAUUUGUAACCUUGGUAGGAGGAAAGAGCAUCACAAGAAAUUUUCAUAGGUUUCCUUCUACACAUCAAUAAACAACUCAUUUGGCAACACAUUUAUUAUUUAAAAAUAAUCAAUAAUUUUUCUGAAAAGACAUUCUGGACACCAUAAAACCUAAUUCUGCAAGGCUUAAAUGUGGCCAGGUUGAAUAUUUUCAAGCAAGUAAUAAUCAUGGUAUCAUGGAUAGCCCAAAACCUAAUCCAAAUUAAGCAUCUAAAGCUUGACAUUCGUUAAGGGAGGAAAAAAUGAUUCAACACCUAUGCUCCUAUACAGAUUCAGGAAAGAAAGAGAUUAGCAUACAUACUGUGGCCUCAGGGUUAUGGAUCAAAGCAGAAAGUGCAUCGACAAGCUCCCCAAGAUUGUGAGGAGGAAUAUUUGUUGCCAUUCCAACCUGAUUGUACAAGAGUUGCACGUAUCACAUCGACUUUGUACCGCACAAUUGUUUUUGUUAACCACAUGAAAGUUCUUUACUAUUAAGAAAAUAGUCAUUAAUGCUUAUAAUUGUAAUAUUUAUUUUUAAAUGGGUCAUACCGCAAUUCCAGAAGAACCAUUCAACAAUAAUGUUGGGAUACGAGCUGGCAAAAGAGAUGGUUCUUUUUGUGAAUUGUCAAAAUUCGGAACAAGGUCGACCUGUCAUUAAAUUAGCCAAAUAUAAAAUCAAAAGAUAAGAAAGAAAAAUGCAUGUAAGUGUUGUUAUGAAAUGCAGAGAAAUGUAAAAAACUGUAACACCUACCGUAUUCAGUUCUAAAUCAGUUAAGAGCAUGGCUUCAGUAAGUGCCUGCAAAAUGGCAAAAUAAAAAAUACAAACUCCUCAAUGAUAUUGAGGAUUAUAUAAGAAUAAAACAAGAAAUACACUCUCUACAUAUAAAUGUACGCCCAGAAAAAAAGGAUUUUGCAUUUCCUUGACAGAAAUCCUAUAGGGUUGCACUCUAUUUUCAUCAGGAGCCAGCUUCAUUAAAAUCCCCAGAUAUAUAUAUAUAUAUAUAUAUAUAUAUAUAUAUAUAUAUAUAUAUAUAUAUAUAUAUAUAUAUAUAUAUAUAUAUAUAUAUANNNNNNNNNNNNNNNNNNNNUAUAUAUAUAUAUAUAUAUAUAUAUAUAUAUAUAUAUAUAUAUAUAUAUAUAUAUAUAUAUAUAUAUAUAUAUGAUUUAAGUUUAUAAAAUUGCCACUAUACAAUAGUUAAUCCUAAAUGCAUCAUGCAGCUGCAGCUAGGAAUUUUAGACCAGUGAUAGCUGACCAGGUUAAUGUAGCCACAAAAGCAUGAUGACAAUAUGCCUGGAUAUAACUAGUUGAGGGCAAAAGUUUAUAAUUCAGCGAACCUUCAGGAGAAUACCAUAGGAAUAUAAAAUUAAACAAUUAAAGAAUAUCCGGAACAUCAGAAGUCAACAAAAAUCAGGAAUUUUGCUAUUUGAACUUGAAGAAAUAUUGACAAAAAUCAUGACUUCUUAAAAGUCACCAAAAUUUAAAAAGUAUGUUGGUAUUGAAACAGCAAAAGAAAUUAAUAAAAACACUAGAAUAAUUCCCAAAAUAAAUUCCAAGAAUAUCAUGUCAGUAGGCAUGAAAAAGGCAACCAAAACAUUCAACUUGAAUGGUGUAUAACAUAUACAAGGGAUAGCUAAAGCCUUCAUAAGCAUACAGGACAAAUUAGAGUUAAAAAAUAAAUUAAAAGACCAAUGCACUUGUGCUUAUACAGAAGUUCAUUAGGAAAAAAAAGAAGAAGAAAAAGGAAUCACUGGAGCCACAAUGAAAAUACAAAGAAGAGAUCAUAUUUUUUUUCUAGCAGCUGAAACCAACCAAUCAGAUGUAAAUAUGAUAAUUAAUCUUUCAAACAUACUUCCAAUCUGCACUCAGUGUACCGCAUAGCGGCAGGAGGAUCAGCAUCAAUUGAUCCAAAGUUUCCAUGUCCUCGAAUAAGAGGACAUCGCAUGGAAAAGUCCUGCAACAAUUCAGAAGCAAUAAAUAGGGGGAAUGCAAUAUAACACAGCAAAAGAUUUUAUUUAAGAAUAGACAAGUGACAAGCUACCCUGUUCUAGACAGCAUUCUCUUGGGGAAAAAAUGAACAAUAACAACAAUUACACAAGGAGCUUAUAAAAGUUAUUCAAUGUGCGUAAAGUAGCAGCAUAAGAUUUCAUCGAACACAAUGAGCCACUUUCAUCAUAAAAAAAAAAAAGAAAAAAAAAGCAACACACUUUUUUGUGUGAAGGAAUUAAACAAACUUAGAUUAGUUACAUAUGACAAGUCAAGCAAAGGACCAUGGAACACGAUUGCAACUUGGCAAGUCAAGCAUGCUGACAAGCAAUUGUUGUUCCAAAUCAAUUUAUGCCUGUGAAGCUUUUGAAGGAAGCUCUUGUAGGACAUAUAUGAUCCCUUCCCCAUGAAGAAGCUUUUAGGAAUUUGAUACAAGAAUACAAUCAUUUGCAGGAAAUAACCAUCCAACUUUACCUCCAGCCCAUUGUAGUGGCCAGGGAAGAUUGGAUCCACUGAGUAGCGAAAAAAGUAAUGUUAUAAUUAAACAUGGGUCAAAAUUGGUGAACAAUGCCGUACCAUCUAUAGGACUCUUCAGAGAUCAUGAAGAGCACACCCUUCAUCAACAUUUGACGGAGCAAAUAAAGAAAAGUAUACGAUAUACAGAUGACAGUUAAAUAUUACCAUGAAAAAAUCAUUCAGAUUUACUUUCUCCGAUCUCUUUCCCUAUAUAAAGGCAUGAGUAAUGUGAUUUAAAAAACUUCAAUAACAUAAGGCACGUUAUCUGUUGUGCCGCAUGGAAAUGGAUAUGAGAAUCAGAUUGAAAUGCAUAUCCAAGCAUCUCAGUCAGAAAGGGGAAAAGGAGAUACGGGAUACUUGAGACAAGUUACAAUUUUAACUAGAUUAUCUAUUUAUAUCUUUAGAUAUUGUUUGUUUAAACAUUACAAAUAAACAUUAAAAAGGUAUUGUUUGUCAAGAUCUUUUAAAAUACAUGUUUCUUAUUCAAACUUAAGGAUAUAAGAAAAAUAAUAUUUUCCAAAGUUAUUUCAAUAUCUAUAUUCUUGGCCACUCACUAAAAAGAAUAAAUACUUCUAACAUGAAAAGAGUCAAACUCAUUGUUGAAAGAGUUCGACUCUCCACAAAUCUCUAAUAGUGGCAGCCAUAGAACUUCAUAAAUAUCCACAUAUCUAAUAUAUCCGACUCAACUAGGUAUCCAACAUGGAUUUUUGGAGCCAAAUGCAAGUAUCCAGGUAACACAGGCUAUUUGCAUAUUCACAACUAUGUAUAAUGUCAAAAAAAAAAAAAGGAUCAUUUUGAACAAGGUUGUCCCUAAGAAUUGGAAGAAAAGAAGAAAAAAAAUCCACUAAAACUUGUAGGACCACAAAAGGCACAUCAUUCCGUUGUUGUAGAAUUGGGCCUACCUUGAUAAAUACCUUGGUUGUUCAAAUACUGCAAGGAAAAAGGUCUGAAGAAGAUUGAAAUCCUUUGUCUGUUUAAAAUUGAUAACUAAUGUUAAAUAAGUGCAACUCUUGUAGAUCUGCUUGCAUCUCAGGGCAAACUUUCUGUUAAGGAUUACAGCAAUUUAUUUGACCAAAUUAAGUAUGGCUAACUUGUUAUAGUAAAGCAUAUAAGAUAUGUUCUUUACACAUAUAUAUGACUGCAUGAAAGCACUCUACCUAUUCACUGAGGGUUUGUUUUAAACAUUUUCCUAUAUGACACCAAGCACAAGCAUACAAAACAUUGCUAAGAAUAAAAGAAAUAGGUUGAGAAAAUAUUAUUACCUGCGCCAUUCGCACUAAAGAUUCAUAAACAGCAGUAUCUCCAUGGGGGUGAUACUUACCUAAGACCUGCAGGGGACACAAAUUUCCAAAUAGUAAUUACUUAAGCAUAAACAAAAAGCAAGCGCAAUGAAAACCAUUACACAGUAUAAAGGAAAAUCAUGGACAACUAAAAUAAUAAAAAGGAUUGCAAGUUCUACAAAGUCUGGGAAAGUAUGAAGCUAUGGAUCUUACCUCACCAACAACCCUUGCACAUUUCUUAAAAGGCUUACGAGAAGAAAGGCCCAGCUCAUGCAUUGCAAACCUGUUUGAAUUUAAGGUUAUAAUCACAUGCACUUAUAUCAAUCCUAUCUAAGAGAUAUGAAGAUCAUUUGUAAACAUUGCUUCAUGAAAGUCAAGGAAACAAAAACUCAAGUAAAAGAACAACUGAAAUUAUAUGUGAAAAUUUAUCAAAAUUAAGCAAGGUAGGACAUAGCAUAGUUUGCUUGCCGAUUAAUACCAGCAUUGCAUUUGCUACUACAUGAAUUAGUGCAAGUAGAAAUGAAAACAACCCUCCAAUGUUUAUGAUAUUCUGAACAUGUGUUAAAAGAUGCUUAGUCUAUAACUUGAGCAAAGACAUGCCCGAUGACAUUAUAUUAUAUGUGAUACUUAACUGUAAACAGCUAUAUACAGCCGCAGCAUCUCAUAACAGGUACAAGGUAACAGAAUAAUUAAAGUAUAUUUUUCAUAUACUGCACAUCAAGCUGUGUUUUAUUCCAUCUAUAUUACAUUUUGUGAACAAUUCUAAAUUAUUUUUACUUUAUUCUAUUGCAGAAUAAAUUGUAACUAUUGAAAUUCUUGGCGUAAAAUAUUUGCAUCAUCUCCUGUAUUUGAGACGAACCAUCAAACAAUAUAAAUCUCAUCCCUCUAACUCCAUUAUAUUAUCGCAAAUCAAAAGUAGUCUUUUUGAAAGUUUUCUUGAAUGGCCAAAGAAGUGAAUCAAAUUAAACCAGCAGAAAAAAAAAAAUAAGCUUUACAAAAGAUAAUAGCUAAGAAACUAGAAAACCAACAAUAAAACCCAAUAGCUACACUUACAGUAUCCUUCGGUGCACGGGCUUCAACCCAUCCCUAACAUCCGGCAAGGCGCGGCCGAGCAAAACUGACAUAGCAUAGGCCAUGUAGGCCUCAGUCGCUUCCUUGUGGAGCUCGGCGGGGACGAUCCUCCCAUCUCGUGCGCUGAUCUUCUCCUUCACCAUCAAGCCCCCAUUGCUCCCUUCCUCCCGCUUCUCCUCCUUCGCCCUCCCAACCUUGUCGCCUCCAUCCCUCCGCUUCGAUUUCACGACCCGGACGGAGCGCCCAGGGGCCGUGGAGAGGAACCGGAGCUCAGAGAAGCCGCGACGGGAGAAGGAGAUAGAGGCGGAGAGAGAGGGAAAGGGCGGGCGGUAGCGCACUAGAGAAGAGGAGGUGAGGCGGAGCACCGUGGAGAGGGCCAUUCUCGGGUGGACAGAAACCCUAGUUUUUCCUUCUUCUUCUCAGAAGCCGUCCGCCAUUGGAGAGGGUUUGGAGAGGC